rnacentral:lncRNA from 1 species
UGACCAUUGAAAACAAAUUGCCAAAUAUGUUUGUAGUGGUUAUUGAAAAUUUACAUAAAUAUUGGUUGAGUGUAUCACUUUAAAAUAUGGUUUCUAAAUAAUUAAUGCUAAUUAUUUUAACUUUCCAAACAAUCUGAAAACCUACCUAUGUCUACUAUAUAUAUGCGGUUGAGUUUUUUCUUAGAAAUACCAUUAAAUUUUUUCACAACUUUUAAUUUAUGAUUAUAGGAGUAGAUGAUAUCACAUUUUAACUAUUUGAUUUUGCUUUCUAUACUUUUUUUAUGUGUGCCAAAUAUUUAUAGUUAGUUAAUUAUUUUAUAUUGAGAAAAACAUAAAUGCCAAACAUAUUUUGACCACAAGAACACAUGUAUUCAGAAAUUAUCAGAUUUUACAAUA